CCUACGGGAGGCAGCAGUGAGGAAUAUUGGUCAAUGGGCGGAAGCCUGAACCAGCCAAGUCGCGUGAGGGAAGAAGGCCCUGCGGGUCGCAGACCUCUUUGGACGGGGAGCAAGGCCGCCGACGUGUCGGCGGAAGGAGAGUACCCGUAGAACAAGCAUCGGCUAACUCCGUGCCAGCAGCCGCGGUAAUACGGAGGAUGCGAGCGUUAUCCGGAUUUAUUGGGUGUAAAGGGCGUGCAGCCGGAGAGACAAGUCAGAUGUGAAAUCCACGGGCUCAACCCGUGAACUGCAUUUGAAACUGUUUC
rnacentral:rRNA from 1 species